GCCUUAACAUGCAAGUCGAACGGUAACAGGUUAAGCUGACGAGUGGCGAACGGGUGAGUAAUGUAUCGGAACGUGCCCAGUCGUGGGGGAUAACUGCUCGAAAGAGCAGCUAAUACCGCAUACGACCUGAGGGUGAAAGCGGGGGAUCGCAAAACCUCGCGCGAUUGGAGCGGCCGAUAUCAGAUUAGGUAGUUGGUGAGGUAAAGGCUCACCAAGCCGACGAUCUGUAGCUGGUCUGAGAGGACGACCAGCCACACUGGGACUGAGACACGGCCCAGACUCCUACGGGAGGCAGCAGUGGGGAAUUUUGGACAAUGGGCGCAAGCCUGAUCCAGCCAUGCCGCGUGCGGGAAGAAGGCCUUCGGGUUGUAAACCGCUUUUGUCAGGGAAGAAAAGGUUCUGGCUAAUACCUGGGACUCAUGACGGUACCUGAAGAAUAAGCACCGGCUAACUACGUGCCAGCAGCCGCGGUAAUACGUAGGGUGCAAGCGUUAAUCGGAAUUACUGGGCGUAAAGCGUGCGCAGGCGGUUAUGCAAGACAGAGGUGAAAUCCCCGGGCUCAACCUGGGAACUGCCUUUGUGACUGCAUGGCUAGAGUACGGUAGAGGGGGAUGGAAUUCCGCGUGUAGCAGUGAAAUGCGUAGAUAUGCGGAGGAACACCGAUGGCGAAGGCAAUCCCCUGGACCUGUACUGACGCUCAUGCACGAAAGCGUGGGGAGCAAACAGGAUUAGAUACCCUGGUAGUCCACGCCCUAAACGAUGUCAACUGGUUGUUGGGAGGGUUUCUUCUCAGUAACGUAGCUAACGCGUGAAGUUGACCGCCUGGGGAAUACGGCCCGCAAGGUUGAAACUCAAAGGAAUUGACGGGGA
rnacentral:rRNA from 1 species